rnacentral:rRNA from 1 species
CCUACGGGAGGCAGCAGUGAGGAAUAUUGGUCAAUGGACGAGAGUCUGAACCAGCCAAGUAGCGUGAAGGAUGACUGCCCUAUGGGUUGUAAACUUCUUUUAUAAAGGAAUAAAACGAGGCACGUGUGCCUUUUUGCAUGUACUUUAUGAAUAAGGAUCGGCUAACUCCGUGCCAGCAGCCGCGGUAAUACGGAGGAUCCGAGCGUUAUCCGGAUUUGUUGGGUUUAAAGGGAGCGGAGAUGGGUUGUUAAGUUCGUUGUGAAAGUUUGCGGCUCAACCGGAAAAUUGCAAGUGAUACUGGCAGUCUUGAGUACAGUAGAGGUAGGCGGAAUUCGUGGUGUAGCGGUGAAAUGCGUAGAUAUCACGAAGAACCCCGAUUGCGAAGGCAGCUUACUAAACUGUGACUGACAUUGAUGCUCGAAAGUGUGGGUAUCAAACAGGAUUAGAUACCCUUGUAGUC